rnacentral:rRNA from 1 species
AAUAUUGGUCAAUGGAGGCAACUCUGAACCUGCCACGUCGCGUGAAGGAUGACGGCCCUACGGGUUGUAACCUUCUUUUUUACAGGAAUCAAGUGAGUCACGUGUGACUUUUUGCAUGUACUGUAUGAAUAAGGAUCGGCUAACUCCGUGCAAGCAGCCGCGGUAAUACGGAGGAUCCAAGCGUUAACCGGAUUUAUUGGGUUUAAAGGGUGCGUGAGCAUAAGAUUAAGUCGGCGGUGAAAUUUUGCAGCUCAACUGUAACAGUGCCAUCGAUACUGGUUUUCUUGAGUGUUGAUGAAGUAGGCGGAAUUUGUGGUUUAGCGGUGAAAUGCAUAGAUAUCACGAGGAACUCCGAUUGCGCAGGCAUCUUACUAGGCCAUAACUGCCACUCAGGCACGAAGGCGUGGGGAUCAAAC